AUCCUUUUGUAGCUCAUGAGCAUGAUGAUUGGGUGUUCACAUGCAUGUGUGAAAUGUACCACUCUCUGAACCUUGUUACUACAUCGACGCACCACCUGUUGGACC